AGCAGCCGCGGUAAUUCCAGCUCCAAUAGCGUAUAUUAAAGUUGUUGCAGUUAAAAAGCUCGUAGUUGAAUUUCGGGGUUAGUAGGUUGGUCAUGCCUCUGGUAUGUACUGGUCUCACUGAUUCCUCCUUCCUGAUGAACCUUAAUGCCAUUUAUUUGGUGUUUUGGGAAUUUGGACUGUUACUUUGAAAAAUUAGAGUGUUUAAAGCAAGCUAACGCUUGAAUACAUUAGCAUGGAAUAAUGAAAUAGGACGUUCGAUCCUAUUUUGUUGGUUUCUAGGAUUGACGUAAUGAUUAAUAGGGAUAGUUGGGGGCAUUAGUAUUCAAUUGUCAGAGGUGAGAUUCUUGGAUUUAUUGAAGACUAACUACUGCGAAAGCAUUUGCCAAGGAUGUUUUCAUUAAUCAAGAACGAAAGUUAGGGGAUCGAAGACGAUCAGAUACCGUCGUAGUCUUAACCGNUAAACUAUGCCGACCAGGGAUCGGAUGGAUGUUAAUUUUUAAUGACUCAUUCGGCGCCUUAC
rnacentral:rRNA from 1 species